AGUGAACGCUGGCGGUAGGCCUAACACAUGCCAGUCGAACGGCAGCACAGUAAGAGCUUGCUCUUACGGGUGGCGAGUGGCGGACGGGUGAGGAAUACAUCGGAAUCUACUUUUUCGUGGGGGAUAACGUAGGGAAACUUACGCUAAUACCGCAUACGACCUACGGGUGAAAGCAGGGGAUCUUCGGACCUUGCGCGAUUGAAUGAGCCGAUGUCGGAUUAGCUAGUUGGCGGGGUAAAGGCCCACCAAGGCGACGAUCCGUAGCUGGUCUGAGAGGAUGAGCGGCCCCACUGGGAGGGAAACCGGGCCCAGCCCCAUCCGGGAGGCGGCAGUGGGGAUUAUUGAAAAAGGGGCACAGGCCUGACCCCGCCAUCCCGGGGGGGGGAGGGGGGCCUUGGGUUUGUAAGGCCUUUUUGUGGGGAAAGAAAAGCAGGAGGUUAACACCCCGCUGUUGUGAGGGUCCCAAAAAAAAAAGCCCCGGCUAACUUCGUG
rnacentral:rRNA from 1 species